rnacentral:rRNA from 1 species
GACGAACGCUGGCGGCGUGCUUAACACAUGCAAGUCGAACGGAAAGGCCCUGCUUUUGUGGGGUGCUCGAGUGGCGAACGGGUGAGUAACACGUGAGUAACCUGCCCUUGACUUUGGGAUAACUUCAGGAAACUGGGGCUAAUACCGGAUCGGAGCUCCUGCUGCAUGGUGGGGGUUGGAAAGUUUCGGCGGUUGGGGAUGGACUCGCGGCUUAUCAGCUUGUUGGUGGGGUAGUGGCUUACCAAGGCAUUGACGGGUAGCCGGCCUGAGAGGGUGACCGGCGACAUUGGGACUGAGAUACGGCCCAGACUCCUACGGGAGGCAGCAGUGGGGAAUAUUGCACAGUGGGCGGAAGCCUGAUGCAGCGGCGCCGCGUGCGGGAAGACGGCCUUCGGGUUGUAAACCGCUUUCGCCUGUGACGAAGCGUGAGUGACGGUAAUGAGUAAAGAAGCACCGGCUAACUACGUG